AUGCAACCAAAACCUUCAGAUCUAAGUGGACAUUUUAGUCGCCUGCUCUUCCAAAGGAAAUCCAGAUUCAGUGUUUGCUGUCCAAGUUAAUCAUUGAGUGAGCCAGUGUGUUCAUCAACACUCACAGUUUCACAUUACAGGGGAAUCCCGAGCAAAUAGUUUACUGAAUCCCAGGACGUGGCUGAGCUCAGAAGGAGGAUGUCCUGUGGGUGGCGGGGGGGAGAUAAACGCUACAGCUGACGUGUUCCUCUUAAGUCUCUGUGCCAUCGCCCAAAGGUGAUUCCUCCCGUGACAGGUAUUCACAUCCG
ensembl:lncRNA